rnacentral:rRNA from 1 species
CCGGCACGGGUGAGUAACGCGUAUGCAACUUACCUAUCAGGAGGGGAUAACCCGGCGAAAGUCGGACUAAUACCGCAUGAAGCAGGAGCCCCGCAUGGGGAUAUUUGCUAAAGAUUCAUCGCUGAUAGAUAGGCAUGCGUUCCAUUAGGCAGUUGGCGGGGUAACGGCCCACCAAACCGACGAUGGAUAGGGGUUCUGAGAGGAAGGUCCCCCACAUUGGUACUGAGACACGGACCAA